CCACGUUGAAAUCGGGUUUCGCAAACAGCGGGCUGUAUAUUGCAUUUGACAUUAGUUCGUUGUCGACGAAACCUGCAUAUGACGUGG
rnacentral:pre_miRNA from 1 species